rnacentral:rRNA from 1 species
UACGUAGGGGGCAAGCGUUGUCCGGAUUUAUUGGGCGUAAAGAGCGUGUAGGCGGCCAAGCAGGUCCGCUGUGAAAACUCGAGGCUCAACCUCGAGACGUCGGUGGAAACCGUUUGGCUAGAGCCCGGAAGAGGAGAGUGGAAUUCCCGGUGUAGCGGUGAAAUGCGCAGAUAUCGGGAAGAACACCCGUGGCGAAGGCGGCUCUCUGGGACGGUACUGACGCUGAGACGCGAAAGCGUGGGGAGCGAACAGG